rnacentral:rRNA from 1 species
UACAGAGGUCUCAAGCGUUUGUUCGGAUUCAUUGGGCGUAAAGGGUGCGUAGGUGGCGGGGGUAAGUCAGGUGUGAAAUCUCGGGGCUCAACCCCGAAACUGCACUUGAUACUGCCUUGCUCGAGUACUGGAGAGGAGAUUGGAAUUUACGGUGUAGCAGUGAAAUGCGUAGAUAUCGUAAGGAAGACCAGUGGCGAAGGCGAAUCCCUGGAAAAUACCUGACACUGAGGCGACGAAAGCUAGGGGAGCAAACAGG